GAGAGGACUUGAGUUUGGAAGUGUUUUGCUGAGAACUGAAAGACCUGAGAACCAGAGGAAGGGAGACCCUACCUCAGCAGAGCAGGGAGACUCCCUCCCCCAGUGUCAAGGACCGAGGGUAACCCUACCCAGGGGGAAGAGGACAGACAGUGUGGAGUGAUGAAGGAGAGAGAACUGGAAUUUGGAGGUAUGUUGCUGAGAACUGAAAGACCCGAGAACAGGAGGAAGGGAGACCCUCCCCCAGCAUCAAGGACCGAGGGUAACCCUACCCAAGGGGUAGAGGGGUUCCCAGGGCAAAAUCAGAAACUGAGGUCUUCCCAUCCUUCCAAAAAUUACCAUGGAGAUGAAAGUGUUUGAGAAGAAUACUACUGAAAACUUUAAAGCUGAUUUAUUAUCAUAAAAGACACAUCACAUCAUUGUUGGCUGAACUGAACCAUACCGCUCUGUGGGCUAGACCAAAAGUGAAGUGGAAAGCUACUGCCUAUGAAACUAUAGUGCUGGUGCGGUACAGUGCUGUACUCUGGACUGUGAAACCAGUUCUAACUAAAACAUGUAAUUUGCUUUUUUGCUAGAGCUACAAGAUGUAAUUGGAUAAGGUGUGUUUGUGCGACUAAAAUAAGAAGCUAAUAGUAGACAAAGUAUAUCAUAUAUUACUAAAAUGCUUUGUAUUUAUGCUGAAUUGUAGAACUAAGAAUUGUUCUCAUGCUUAAAUUUAUUAUGGAAAAGUACUAGUAACUGAAUGGUUGCGAUCUCUGUUUUUGUAUAUUUAGCUCUUUUCUUUGUAUGUGUGCAAUCUGUCAGAAACUAAGAUGCAUGCUCUGGUGAGGCUUGUAAGAUAUGCACCAUCUGCAAGGAAUGGAUAAUUAUCUGUAUUGGUUUAGGUUGGUACAGACACCUCUAUGUCUUGUAAAACAUGUAUGGAACUAGACAAGAAAAAGGAUGAGAGAGUUGUGCUAAUACAGUGGAAUUUGGGGAUUUUCCAUCUGUUAUAAACAAGCAGAGUAUAAAACAGACAGUUUCUGUAAUCAUUUUGGGACAGACUAGAUGCUGCAGGACUGUUUCCCAGAGGUUGGUAAUGUAUACCCUCUCUGUAUUGUGCUGAUUUAUCUUUGAUUAAUAAAUAGAUAAC